UUCAAAAAAAUAAAAUUAUUUUCCAAAGUUCAAUGAAGCAAACUCAUAACAUGAUGCACAAAAAUACAACAAAUAAAGUUUCGUUCGCUUUGAGUGCAGUGGAACGCGCUCUAGUUCGUAAACAUUUUGCUUAUGUCAAAAGUCAAAACAAAUAAUCAUAAACUGUUUACUUUUACCGCGAUUUUGUUGCUCAUAAAUAGCCGAAAUACUAUUUAAACCCGUGAGCAUUAUAUUUUGGACAAUAUAGACAUAGUGUGCGUGAAGCAGCAUCGGGUUCUCAGUGAUAAUAACCUCAAAAUAUUUUGUGUUCUUGUUUAUCUAAAAUUGUGAAUUAAGUGUUGAUUUUGUGAGUCUUAUAAGUUUCUAGCAUUUAUCUAGUGAUGGUAGUGAUUGUGUGAUACGAUGGUGGCGGUUGCAGUGUGCUGAAGGCGGCAGUAUACAAUUCAUUCCUGCACGUAAAGGACACUUGCUUCUCCUAAACGGCUACACCUACUGGAAAGACGCGCGAAACAAGCGCGCCAUCUCUUGGUACUGUUCGAAACGACGACAGAAUUGUAUGGCGUACGUCAGGAUGGACCAUAGCUUGAGCAGCGUCCUGUCAGCUUCGACGGACCAUAAUCACAAGCCUAAAGUUUUGAAUUACUAUAAUAGUGUCGGAUAUCCACAGAGUUGAAGCCAUUUUGAUUUUAAGUAGAAAAAGCGGUUGUUUAUUACCCUUCCGAAAAAGUUCGUCCGUCAUUUGUGAACUACCGCAACGGCAUAGUGAUGCUUCUAGACGGUUACAAGUACAACAAGUCCUCGAAACUGAACUGGUAUUGUUCUAGAAGAGUCUCCUACGGCUGCAAGGCAAGCGUCAAGUUAACCCCUGAUCAGAAAUAUGUGGAACGGACGUUGUAUACCCAUGAUCAUCAAAGGGAUAACUUCAUGAUCUCCAGCAAAGGGGAAUUGAUUAAGCUGUUUUAGUAUACCAAGCUCUUUCUUUGGUCUGAGAUCCCAAGUUUCAUUCAUAUGCUGACCUAAUGUUGAAAGAUGUUCUGAUGUAUCUAUAAGUCAUAUACAUAUAUUACAUUUUCGUUGUUUAGUAUUUUUCUGCAAUAUUGAACAGUGACUAUGAGUUGUCGUUUAUCUACCUAAUCAUAACCUUAGCAUGUGCCCACUAGUACAGUAAAUGUAAUAUUAAUUAUUUAUUGUAUUGUAGAAACUAGGUAUACCAAAUUCAGUAAAUAUUGUAUCUUCUUAUCACGUGUUUCUUUUUCUUUAUUUUUUACCAUAAUUGUACUAAAAUUUAACGCAGCUAAAUGCUGUUUAUAAAUAUACACAUGUCCUUAUUCAGCAAGUUAUUUUUCACCUCGACAGUUUUACAGAUCUAAUAAAUCAUAUAAGUAUAAAGGUGAAGCACCACGGCCUAAGCAUAAAACUGACAACAAUUCACAAAAGCAAUUAAUAUGUACUUAUUAAUUUUAGAAAAAGGACGGAGACAUCAUAGACCCGUACAUUUACCAAAGAGAAAUGGCAGAAUAACUCGCAAAAAGUGUCGAGUUUGCUAUUCUAAGACAAAAAGAAAAGUGUUAUUUGGCUGUCCUAGUUGUCCCGGAUUCCCGGGGCUAUGCCUGCAAUGUUUUAAAGAAUAUCACAAUUAGUGAAUAUAUGUCUAGUUCAGCUGCUGAAGGAAAUGCGUCCCUUGCAUAUAUGAAAAUAAAAAAAUCUUAAGCUACCAUUUCCUUUAUUUUUUCUUCAAUGCACCAUGAAGAUACGUUUUCCGUUUCUUUUCUUCCUCCUACCCCCUGUUCCCAAUUUUGUUUUGGAUCGGCACAAUAUGUCAUCCUCUUCCAUUUACCCCUGUCACUCAUCAUACUGACACUCACUCCCUUCCUAUUCAUGUCAUCUUUCAGGCAAUCCUGAUCUGGUCUUCUUUCUUAGGUCUUUUCUUAGGUCUUCCUUAGGUCUCCAUUCAUCGUUUUCCGUUUCUAUCAUAUUGUUUUUAAACUUUUGAGAUUUGUACAAAUAAUCGGGUCUUAAUCGCGAUGCUAUUAUAAUCUAACCGUGACCCAGGUCCGUGAAAUUCGACCGAAACAACGUAUAAAUAAAAAACGUAUCGCACCUUUAUAUACCGUAUCACGAUUGAGUCCCUAUUAUUUAUAAAUAUAUGUAGGUAUUACUUGUAAUUAAUACUAACAAUGUAUCCUAUCUCUUCAAAAUCACUUUUCCUUUUUCAGAAAACGCGUAUGUUUUGUUUCCUUCUGCCAAGAAAAAGAAUUUGUUAAUGCUGAAUAAUUUUACGUAUGCACAACACCUUUCGUCUCGAACCUAUUACUGUUCGCAGAAAAACCAUGGUUGCAAAGCUGCAGUCAAACUAGAUCAUUCCGGGAAGGUACAAAUUGUCAGAAACUUUCACGCUCAUGAUCCUCCACGAUAUGUAAAAAUGGACAAUGGCAGAUAUGUUAAAAUAUAAUACAUAAACUUAUCAAAAUAUGACCGGUUCCCACAGAAAUUAGUUUUGUUUGCGGAUUGUAGUUUUCUGAAAUUAAGCUUUCCGUCUAUAAGCAAAAGGAAUAAUUUCUUAUUUUUAGGCACCUGGCAUUAGUCGACCAAACGUGCAAAUAUGUUUUUCUCUUCCCAUGAUUGUGUAAAAAAUGUAUUUGCUAGAAUUAUUUACGAAGGGAUAACCCCCAGAUUAUGGUUUUUGAACGGAUAAAUGUAAUAUUUAUAUUUUCACAUAAUUAUGAUGUAUUUGUGAAUAUUGGGGUUUGAUUAAAGUACGGAUUGUAUUGUAACCGUUAUUGUUAUUCUCCUCGCCCGAUAAACUCACGCCUACCGUGAAGACGGUUCUCACGUGGGGCAACUCCUGACAUUGCUUUCAAUACCAUAUUCUAGCUUAUCUAUCAAGCAUCGAAAUCUUUACUUAUAUAAUGUCUCUCACUUUUUUUAUGGAACUUUUAUGUCCAGAUAUGUCUCUAAAAAAAUUCUGUUCGUGGUGAUUCUCAUUCCGUCUUUGAAGGUUUCAAAAUAUUUGCCUGCUGUUCAGUGGCAUAUGUAUAGAAUGCUUUAUAUUUUCCCACUGCAGCGCAGUUACGUCUUUUGCACCUACGGCCUCUUGAAUAAUUCUCAUAAUUUGUUACAUUCCAGGUCUGCAAUAUGAGCUGAUACCCACAAAUAAGGGCAAAUAUUUACUAAUGUUGGACAAGUACACUUACUCACAGGAUCACUUCAGUACAAGUUACUACUGUUCCAGAAGGAAUAUAGGUUGUAGAGCUACCGUCAAAUUGGACAAGUCUGGCAAUAUUAAAGCAGCCAAUACUGCACAUACACAUGAUCCACCGACAUACAUGAGAACUGCUACUGGAGAGUACAUUAAAGUUAGACAUUAAUUAGUUGUACACACGUAUUUCUUAUUGUAGGUCUUAGAUAUGAGCUGAUACCCACAAAAAGGGGCAAAUAUUUACUGAUGCUGGAACAGUACACUUACUCACAGAAUCACUCCAGUAACAGUUACUACUGUUCCAAAAGGAAUAUAGGUUGUAGAGCUACCGUCAAAUUGGACAAGUCUGGCAAUAUUAUAGCAGCCAAUACUGCACAUACACAUGAUCCACCGACAUACAAGCGAAAUGCUAAUGGAGAGUACAUUAAAGUUAUAUAAUAAUUAGUAUGGAGGAUUUAGUUGUACAACUACAUACGUAUUUCUUAUUGUCUUGGAUAUGAGCUGAUACCCACAAAAAGGGGCAAAUUUUUACUGAUGCUGGACAAGUAUACUUACUCACAGGAUCACAAAAAACGCACUUUUUACUGUUCCAAAAAGAAUGUGGGGUGUAGAGCUAACGUCAAAUUGGACAAGAUAGGAAAUAUAAAAGAAGCCAAUACCAUCCAUUUACAUGAUCCGCCGAACUAUGUACGAUCUGCUAGUGGAGACUAUAUUAAAGUUUAAGGGGCUCAAGUAGUGGGCAGUGUGCUUGAUUUCAUUUUGGCAAAUGCAUUUUACCAAUGUUACUCGUGCGUGUUUGCCACUGAACGAUUGAUGAUCUUCAUUAAACAUGUGUGAACAGUAGAAGAAUUAGUUAUCCUGAAAAGGCUUAUUAUAAAAAAGGAACCCAGUAAAAGAAAUAUUCAAGUACCAACGCAAUUUGUAUCAAAUUGGUUGAGCCGUUGAGUAGGAUUUGGGUGUGUAGGUACACAAAUUCGUAUUUUGAAUUGUGUGUAUUUGUCCCGGUGACGGUAGGUAGGAAACUUAAUCAUUAUAUUUCGUAAGCAAUCAACUAGGUAGUUUAUUUAUGAUAGAACUAAAGAUACUACGAUCUUGGCUGAUUUGUCUUUGAACUAUGUACAGAUAUACGUAUCUCUUUGGGCAGGUUUUUUGGCAUCUAACAAUGGCUAAACAUUGAAAUUGUGGUAAAUAGUAAUGUAAGUUUAGUGUAUCUUAUAAAUAAUUGGUAUAUCUUGACUUGAAAUAAAUAUACCUACGAACUUAACAUACAACUGUAUUUUUUUUAUGUCAUCUAUUCCUAUUAAGAUUGGUUUUCGAUGAUAGGUAAGUGAUAAAAAAUUUUUGUUUCAGACAAUAUGAAGUUCAUAGAAACAUUGAAAGGGACGAGAUUGUUAAUGAUAAAUGGAUAUACUUAUUCUCUCAAAAAUCGUGCUAAACGUUGUUACUAUUGCUCUAAGGAGGCUCGGAACUGUAAGAGCCGAGUUCGUAUAUGUAAGAACGGAUAUAUACUUUCCAUGGAUUUAGAACAUAAUCAUCCCCCGCCUGUUUAUAAGGAGGUUGACGGAAGGUAUUUGAAAGUCUCAAAGUAGGUUUGGAGUUUGACACCGAUAAUAUGAAGAAUACUGAUAUAAAAUAAAGUCGUAAUCAUCAGAAUCGCUGUCACUCCUCAUCGAUCCCCUCGAAAUACAUACGAGAGUAGCAAUUGGUAGUAACUAAUGGCAGCUGCUAGCAAUUAGGUAGCAACUCUCUAUGAGUAUUUCGAAGGGAUCGAUUAGGAGUGACAGUGAUAAUGACGAUAUCAAACGAAAGACUUGUCUAUGGCUAUGGAGUAGUACAUAACCCGGGUGUGGUGGGUGUGUCAUACACGACAGGAUUGACGUUUUUCAUGCAAUCUGAGUGAAUUCGCAAUAGUAUUAUUAUUGUUUGACCAUUGUAUUUAAAUUACGUUAUUUUUAAGUUACUGCUAUUGUAUUGGGUAUAUCCCGUAUUGAUACCACGUAAAUAAAUCAAUGAGGUGUUAAAUCAAGGAGAUUUUUUGUAACAUCGUGUAUUUUGAUCAUAUUUUGAUGAAGUACUGACAAAGGUUUUAAUCAAAAAUAUUUUCUUUGAUUUUGGAUACAUCCUAUUCGUCGACAAUUCUUACCGAAUUGCUAAAUGUUUAGCUUGUUAUAGUUAAGUUUUCUAAAGGUUUUCCUCUCUCUCUUUUUAAACACGGAUUAAAGUUGCAACAAGGAAUAAUAAUAAUAGCGAUCAGCCAGCUGCGCAGGACAUAUUGUAGGGCACAAGCAUUUUCGCAGACACAGGUGCACUCCAUAUUCCUUCACUCUCUCAGCCCGAUGGGACGGCAAUCCGACACGACCGGAAAGAGAUCAGGGAAGUCGAAGGAGGGUUACACCUACUUAAAGGUUUCAAAAUAGCAUGGGUCAAUUAAUAAUAAAUAAUGUUGACUUUUUAUGCUUUUCGUUUUCAGUUGCGUGAAUUUUACAGUUUUGUUGCUAGUAAGUACAUCCGUGAUACGAUUUUAGUUGAAAUAACUUAAAUAUAAAGAAUCUCACAGAUAUUGUUUUGUAUUUCAGCGAGGGUGGCAUUUAUUAAAACUGUCAAAGGAAGCACAUUAUUAAUGGUCAAUGGAUUUACAUAUUGGCAACAUAAUACGAGUAGAACUAUAUAUUAUUGCUCUAGUAAAACUGGAAAUGGUUGUAAGAGUAGAGUCAAAGUUACUACAGAAGGAGUCAUUGUUACUUUAAGAGAGGAACAUAAUCAUUCACCACCUGUUUACAAGCAAAGAGGUGGUCUGUACUUCAAGGUUUAAGCUCUGCAUUUUGUGAAAAAUAAAUACUUUUCUAGUCAUACUGGCUUUUUACUACUCCUCGAUUAAUCGUAUAGUCCGUUCUUGUAUGCAACUGGAUCGUGACAUCUUAUUACCCCAGUAUAUGUCGUCCGUACGAAUCAAGUCAUCGUUCGAAUCACGUCGUCAUAAUGGUCGUUACGGUUAUUACGACAGCUAACACUUUUGUAACCCGCGAAAACCAGUACCUUUUUAACAUUAUUUGACAUUCCAGAUGACGUGAAAAUCAUAAAAACUGAAAAAGGGAGCAUGCUGUUAAUGGUCAAUGGGUUCACAUUUUGGCAGAGUAGUAAGUACAAAACGAAUUAUUAUUGUUCUCGAUCGUAUUACGGAUGUAAGAGUAAAGCGAAAUUAAACAACGAAGGAUUUAUGAUUGGUUUAAAGGAGGAUCACAAUCAUCCACCACCUACUUAUGUAGUAGGUGAUAGCGGUUUAUACUAUAAGGUUUCCAGAUAAUUGAAUAAAUAAUAUUGAUUUCAAAUAAUUUGUAAUAAUUUUAAUGGAUUUAAAAUAAAUUAAUAAUUUCUACUAAGUAUACUUUGUAUAAUAUCAAUAAUUAUGUGUCUCAAAACUAUGUAAUCUGGGAGCACUUCUGUGCAUCCACUUAGUUUUAGGUAAGCAACAAUGAAAUUACAAUAAAAAAUUGCUAUCGAAUAUAUUCCACCUAGAUGUUAAGUAGUAAUAAAUGAGCUAUUGUUAGUUUAUAACUUUUUAAUUUAAUAAACAAUCAUUUUGUAAUCGUA
rnacentral:misc_RNA from 1 species